rnacentral:rRNA from 1 species
CCUACGGGUGGCUGCAGUGGGGAAUAUUGCACAAUGGGCGCAAGCCUGAUGCAGCGACGCCGCGUGAGGGAUGAAUGCCUUCGGGUUGUAAACCUCUUUCAGCAGGGAAGAAGCGAAAGUGACGGUACCUGCAGAAGAAGCGCCGGCUAACUACGUGCCAGCAGCCGCGGUAAUACGUAGGGCGCGAGCGUUGUCCGGAAUUAUUGGGCGUAAAGAGCUUGUAGGCGGUUUGUCGCGUCUGCUGUGAAAGGCCAGGGCUUAACCCUGGUAUUGCA